GUGCCAGCAGCCGCGGUAAGACAGGGGUCUCGAGCGUUAAUCGGAAUUACUGGGCUUAAAGGGUGCGUAGGCCGGCCCGCAAGUGACUUGUGAAAUCCCCCGGCUCAACCGGGGAACAGCUCGUCAUACUGCGGGUCUUGAGGAAGGUAGGGGUUGCCAGAACUGUAGGUGGAGCGGUGAAAUGCGUAGAUAUCUACAGGAAUGCCGAUGGUGAAGACGGGCAACUGGGCCUUUCCUGACGCUGAGGCACGAAAGCGUGGGGAGCAAACAGGAUUAGAUACCCUGGUAGUCC
rnacentral:rRNA from 1 species